CCUACGGGAGGCAGCAGUGAGGAAUAUUGGUCAAUGGACGAGAGUCUGAACCAGCCAAGUCGCGUGAAGGACGACUGCCCUAUGGGUUGUAAACCUCUUUUAUAUGGGAAUAAUACGUUCUACGUGUGGGAUUUUGUCUGUACCAUAUGAAUAAGGAUCGGCUAACUCCGUGCCAGCAGCCGCGGUAAUACGGAGGAUCCGAGCGUUAUCCGGAUUUAUUGGGUUUAAAGGGUGCGUAGGUGGUUUGUUAAGUUAGUUGUGAAAGUUUGCGGCUCAACCGUGAAAUUGCAGUUAAUACUGGCAGUCUUGAGUACAGUAGAGGUAGGCGGAAUACGUGGUGUAGCGGUGAAAUGCUUAGAUAUCACGAAGAACUCCGAUUGCGAAGGCAGCUCACUAGACUGCAACUGACACUGAGGCUCGAGAGUGUGGGUAUCAAACAGGAUUAGAUACCCUUGUAGUC
rnacentral:rRNA from 1 species